rnacentral:rRNA from 16 species
GCGGCAAUAGCUCAAAUUUGAAAUCUGGCUUUUGUAAAUAAAAGUCCGAGUUGUAAUUUGCAGAGGAUGCUUUUGGCAAGGCACUGUCUAAGUUCCCUGGAAUGGGACGCCACAGAGGGUAAGAGCCCCGUCUAGUUAGAUGCCGAAGCCUUUUUAAAGCUCCUUCAACGAGUCGAGUAGUUUGGGAAUGCUGCUCAAAGUAGGAGGUAUAUGUCUUCUAAAGCUAAAUAUUAGCUAGAGACCGAUAGCGCACAAGUAGAGUGAUCGAAAGAUGAAAAGCACUUUGAAAAGAGGGUUAAACAGUACGUGAAAUUGCUAAAAGGGAAGCACUUGCAACUAGACAUGGAUGUUUUCAAUCAAUUAGUGAUUUUCACUAAUGUGCUUGGAAUUAUCUAGGCUAGCAUCGGUUUACUGUAGAGAAAAAAGAUAUCUAGAACGUAGCCCUCUUCGGAGGGUGUUAUAGCUAGAUGUGUAAUGCUCUACUUAGUAGACCGAGGUGUUAUUGCGCAUUCUUGCAAGGAUGCUGGCGUAAUAGUUGCUAGUGACCCGUCUUGAAACACGGAC